AUUGAACGCUGGCGGCAGGCUUAACACAUGCAGGUCGAGCGGGGGGAGGUAGCUUGCUACCGGACCUAGCGGCGGACGGGUGAGUAAUGCUUAGGAAUCUGCCUAUUAGUGGGGGACAACAUCUCGAAAGGGAUGCUAAUACCGCAUACGUCCUACGGGAGAAAGCAGGGGAUCUUCGGACCUUGCGCUAAUAGAUGAGCCUAAGUCGGAUUAGCUAGUUGAUGGGGUAAAGGCCUACCAAGGCGACGAUCUGUAGCGGGUCUGAGAGGAUGAUCCGCCACACUGGGACUGAGACACGGCCCAGACUCCUACGGGAGGCAGCAGUGGGGAAUAUUGGACAAUGGGGGGAACCCUGAUCCAGCCACGCCGCGUGUGUGAAGAAGGCCUUAUGGUUGUAAAGCACUUUAAGCGAGGAGGAGGCUACUUUAGUUAAUACCUAGAGAUAGUGGACGUUACUCGCAGAAUAAGCACCGGCUAACUCUGUGCCAGCCGCCGCCGUAA
rnacentral:rRNA from 1 species